UUGGACUUGUUUUCAAAUAAUUUAGAUCAACAGUGCCAGGAGGAAAAUGUCUUACUGUUUGAAAAUGAAAUACCCGUCAUAUCAACUAUUCCGAAUAUUUUAACGAACCAGCUAAACGAGGGUUCCGCUGAUGUUAUACAACAGUUGAAAUCUGCGAUUGAAAUAAAUGAUACAAAAAUAAAUUUGCUACUUUCAAAAGUAGAAAAU